GACAAAAUGCUCUCGCGUCCACUGUCCACGGCCAGAAUGUAACUGCCGCCGUUCUGCAAGCAACAGAAAUUAGUUAAUCAUACGAACGGUCUUUUACAGAUAAAUGAACAGAUAUACAAACAUGCAACAUGCAUUAAAAUAUUAACACAUAAAUUUAAACGAAUGCUAUUUAAAUAAUAUUUUAAAUAAGUUUAUAUAUAUUGCUGGGAAUUCUUUAUCUUUGUGUAGUGCAAUUUUAAAUCUGUUUUUCAUAUAAAUGAUAAAUGGAUGUCUUCGAAUAGUCUAUUGUUUUAUAGAGAUUGAGGACACACAAACUGAAUAUUUAAAGGUUGCUAGAUAGAUAUAGACCGAUAUACAGAGGAAAGCAGUGUCCAGCUCGCCCAUGCCAAAGACAUAGAGUGUCUGCAAGGAUUCUGUGCUCCAGAUGCGCACAUGCGCCUGCGACUUG